AUUUUGGAGAAUUUAUUGUUUGUCAAUUUCAAUUGUCAAAUUGUCAUACAAAUUUGUAUUUUAGGUGUGUAUUUUCAAUUUAGGCCUAAGUUACAACAACUACUACAGUUAAAAGAACCAUUUUUGUCAUCACAAAAUUGAAAGGAGAUGGAUGCACCCUCCUUCAGAAGGCGCUGAAAGGAAUACUAAUUAUAGGCCGCUGUACUCCGUAAAAGAACUUAAGGAAGAGCACCUAGUGAGAUAAGUGUAUGUCUGCCAUUUCAUCCGUUAAACAGCCAGGUUUUUGAAGGAAGAAAGAUGUAGCCCCAGCUCUGGACAAAAAUAUUAUGGAGAAGGUUGGCCGCUGUAGAGGGCAGCUAUAGUUAUCAUUAUAUGUUGCCUUUUAUUGUUAUGUACUGUUUUUAUACUUCACCAAUAAACCUUAUAUUUAUCUAUAGCA